rnacentral:rRNA from 1 species
UACAGAGGGUGCGAGCGUUAAUCGGAGUUACUGGGCGUAAAGGGCGCGUAGGCGGUUCGUUAAGAUUGUUGUGAAAUCCCUGGGCUUAACCUAGGAACUGCAACGAAGACUGGCGAGCUGGAGUAUUGUAGAGGGUAGUGGAAUUUCCGGUGUAGCGGUGAAAUGCGUAGAGAUCGGAAGGAACACCAGUGGCGAAGGCGGCUACCUGGACAAAUACUGACGCUGAGGCGCGAGAGCGUGGGGAGCAAACAGG